GUGUCAGCAGCCGCGGUAAUACGUAGGGUGCGAGCGUUAAUCGGAAUUACUGGGCGUAAAGCGUGCGCAGGCGGUUUCGUAAGCUGGAGGUGAAAUCCCCGGGCUUAACCUGGGAAUGGCCUUCAGGACUGCGAGGCUAGAGUGCGGCAGAGGGAGGUGGAAUUCCACGUGUAGCAGUGAAAUGCGUAGAGAUGUGGAGGAACACCGAUGGCGAAGGCAGCCUCCUGGGCCAGCACUGACGCUCAUGCACGAAAGCGUGGGGAGCAAACAGGAUUAGAUACCCUAGUAGUCC
rnacentral:rRNA from 1 species